UGGAGUAAGGUUGGAGUUUCAACACAAGAGCACUGGCAAAAGGGCUGCUUCAUACUGUGCUCUUCUUAGCUGGCCGUGCUGCUCUGUUUGUAUUCGCUGGGGGUCAGCAUGCACCUGUGUGUACGUGCGUGUUUGUGUGUGUGUGUGUGUGCGUGUACGUGUAUGCGUCUCAGUUCAACUGCUUGUUUACCAAUGCUGUCAUGUUAGCAGCUCGUGCAGCAGUCAGCAGGGGAGAGGCAGAAGUGGACCUGACAGACUGAACAUAACAAAGGAAUGUAUUUGGGAAGUUUCUGCCUCCAUCUUGAGUCGAAAGAAAUCUGAGGGCACAUACUUUCCUUGCAGCAGUCAAGCGCUGACAGUAAGCAGAGCGGUGUGACAAAAGAAUGUUCCCACUUGCAGAUGUAGCAGUAUAGGAGUUCAUUGGGCGGUAUGGAUAUAAGCGGGCUGGACAUUGAUGUCAUACAAGUGGCUGUGUGAACCUCUGCAGCGGCUAGACGGCAGCAUGUGUCCACACUGGCUUGUAGAUUUACAUCGAAGCGCUGGCCUGCACUGAAUCUCGAAGCGGGAGUCCAUCUGACACCAGAGGAUGUUUGAUCGUCUGUGUCCAGCCUGUGCCCUGUUGGUAUGUUGGCCAUUUGGAAUACUUUCCACUGUGCAGACUGGGCGACACAGAGGCUAAGAUAUUUUGUUUUUACUUUAAAUUUUAGACGAUAUAUUAAAGGCUAGAAAAACUGUACUAAUGCACAUCAUUUUUCUAUUUUGCUCUAUUUGAUACUAGUUAUUUUUUUUGUUGCCAGAAUGAGGAAUGUUUUUUACACCAAUAUAAUACUUUUUAUUUACAUUUUUUAUAUCACAUUUUUUAUUAAUGUAUGUUUUUUUGUAACAGCCCACAUUAAGAAAUUUGAAUCAUUUUAAAAUAUCGAUGCUCGUCAAAAACUCAAUGUCAUUUAAACAGUACUUCUUUUUUCAACUUGAUUAAUGUAUUUCACAUUUUCACAUGAUUACGAUUGGAAUUUCUCAUUUCUUUCACUGCAUUUAUGGCCACGUUUAGAAUUAUAUUUCCUUUUAGAAGCAAUCGCUGACCACAAACAAUAAAAAUCACAUUUUAAACAAAGCAGUCAUGAGCUUUAG